UUACCUCGUUCUCCCUUUGCACCUGGAAGUCCAGGAAGUCCUCUACCAGGAAUACCUGUAAGAUGAAGACAGUAGCACCGAGGCCAGAAAUCUUGCCUGGACACAGCAUGGAGGAGAAUGGGGGAGCAUUACGGAACUCAUAUUUCUCUACCCACAUCUCUGGGGACUGUGAGAGAGCAGAAGGCAAGCAACCAGGCAACCAGGGGCAGAAUACAGCGAAAUACAGGGAUACAGGGAAAGAGAUCUGAGUGAAAAGUGAGGCCAUAGAAGUGUAAACCGCCCGGUGAUCUUCGGAUAAAGGAUGAUGUAUAAACAACAACAAGAAGAAAUGGUGUCUGUUCAUCAAGAAAGUGUUCUGAAUCUUAAAAUCCCAACUGUAAGUACAGUUAGCAUGCCAGCUGCCUCUCCACUACAAACCAACCCUGAAGAAGGACUAGGGGGGAUGCUCAUCAAAUUUGCAGAUGACACCAAACUGGGAGUUUUCAAAAUGACCUUAAAAGAAUGGAGAACUGGGACUUCCGGGU